GUACUUGCUUUGACAGCACAUACAUUAAAAUUGAGAUGAUACAGAGAUUAGGACAGCCCAGUGCAAUGGUGACAUGCACAUUUGUGAAGCAUCCCAUAUUUAA